rnacentral:rRNA from 1 species
GAUGAACGCUGGCGGCGUGCCUAAUACAUGCAAGUCGAGCGAAUGGAUUAAGAGCUUGCUCUUAUGAAGUUAGCGGCGGACGGGUGAGUAACACGUGGGUAACCUGCCCAUAAGACUGGGAUAACUCCGGGAAACCGGGGCUAAUACCGGAUAACAUUUUGAACCGCAUGGUUCGAAAUUGAAAGGCGGCUUCGGCUGUCACUUAUGGAUGGACCCGCGUCGCAUUAGCUAGUUGGUGAGGUAACGGCUCACCAAGGCAACGAUGCGUAGCCGACCUGAGAGGGGGAUCGGCCACACUGGGACGGAGACACGGCCCAGACUCCUACGGGAGGCAGCAGUAGGGAAUCUUCCGCAAUGGACGAAAGUCUGACGGAGCAACGCCGCGUGGGUGAUGAAGGCUUUCGGGUCGUAAAACUCUGUUGUUAGGGAAGAACAAGUGCUAGUUGAAUAAGCUGGCACCUUGACGGUACCUAACCAGAAAGCCACGGCUAACUACGUGCCAGCAGCCGCAGUAA